GGAGGACUCAGUCCCUAUCCUACCCCACAAAAUCUCUCUUUCACACUACGCACACAAUGCUUCCCUAUACAUACACAGAAACACACCAUGCUUCCCUUACACACAGAUAAACACACCAUGCUUCCCUUACACACAGAGAAACAUACAAUGCAUCCAUUACACACAAAGACAAUGCAUCCUUUGCACACAUACACAGAAACACACAAUGCAUCCCUUACACACACACUGCUUCUCUUAGCACACACCAAAACACAAUGCACCCCUUACCUAUACAGAAACACACCUUGCAUCCCUUACACAUACACAGAUUAACACAAUGCAUCCCUUAAAUACAAACACACACUGCAUUCUAUCCCUUUCACAAAACACACUGCAUCACCUACACAAACUGGUAUCCCUAUACACUACAUUCCAUAAGCACACACUUUAGAUCCUCUACAAUAACACAUCCCAUACACACUCCACUCCCUGUGAGCGAACAUAUAGGUGGACUUAUGGGUGGGCCUUAUGGGCAUACUCACCAUCAGGCCCUGGGGCCCAGACCUUGAGCUGUGUAAGGGGCCCCCAAAAAAUGGAGCUGCUUCCGGUUCUCCCAGAACAUUGAAUUUUGUGACCACAGUUACAAACAGCCUCCAGAGAUCCGGUUCUACACCAGACCAGUGGAG